AGACAUUUCUAUAGCUGACAUACAUUUAUUAUUUUCCAGAUACAUCUAUUUAUUCAUAAAUAAAGAACACGCUUCUUUCUUAGAAGUAUCGGGAGUUCUCUCCCCUUGAUUCCCAAAAAGGGAAAAUACUCUCAUUUACAGCUGGACUAAGACUAGUAAUUAUUUCCCCUUAUGAGUUAUAAAUAGACAAUUUUUCCCUUAAUUUUUUUCUCCCCUCUUCCUGCAUUUUUGGGUUGACUUUUUGGUCUAGAAUUGGAGAAAAUGGAUCAAAUUUGCAAUUUCAUAGCAGUUUUGGGUAAUACUGAUGAUAUUACAGCGGAGGGAUAGGGGGUGUAAAGUGUCUUUCUGCAGAGCAAUCAUUGUGUCGGAAGUGAGAUUUUCACCCCUGUCAACUUCAAAUCCGUGUAGCAAAAAAUCUAAAUGGUCAACCCCCUACACAAUUAUGAUGAGGAGAUUGCCAAAUGUUGUCCCCAUUGUGCCUAUAAAGAUUGGAACCAACGGAAUGUUGAGCAAAAAGCUACAGCCUGUGAUGUUACAGUCAUUUAACAUUGAAGUCAAUGGGCAAAUAAUUGCUAGUCUGAGUCCUGAUGAUAUAAAGAAGCAUGGCCGACUCGGGAUGUUGAUAUUUUUUCAACGGCUUAUUUCCUGAAGUUUUGAAUGGAAAGUGUCAGAAAUGGUGCCAGGGUAAUGUUUCAUAGAGUGGAAUGAUUGACCUCAACACAAGUAUUAAAAAAAAAAGAAGCAAAACAGGUCUACAUCUCAAAACCUGAUGUCUUCCUGGACUGGCUUUAGGAGAACGAUGAUGCAUAUCAAUUUCAUCCCUGAUCUCUAUGACACCUGUGGUGGAAGUGGAGGGCAAAUCGUAAUCAGUUUGGGUUCCAGCCCC